AAGUCGUAACAAGGUUUCCGUAGGUGAACCUGCGGAAGGAUCAUUAACACGUAUCCAAACGUUAAACCCCCUCCCGUGAACCUUCAUCCUGCUCUUGUAACCCGCGUAGUUCGCAAUCUCUGAUAAAUCAUAGCCCGGAAAGUUGUAGUGAUUCAGAGACCUCUGGCUACGUGCAAACAUUGGAACAGUUACAAUCGAGCGGUAGUUCUAUAGGCAAUGUUUCCCCAAGCAGUCAGUGUCGGAAAGUGUCAUUGAUUGUGCAAGGAUAGCGCUUCUACGAUUCCUGUAGACCGUACACUCGGGCAGGAGCUUUGCCAAAGGGUAAAUGUAAUACAUUGGGUAAAAAAACCGAACAACUGUUAACAAUGGAUAUCUUGGUUCUC
rnacentral:misc_RNA from 1 species